GCCAACGUAGCUCAGUCGGCUAGAGCGGCUGACUUGUAAUCAGCAGGUUGAGGGUUCAAGUCCCUCCGUUGGCUCCA
rnacentral:tRNA from 1 species